rnacentral:lncRNA from 10 species
GCCCUACGGCUUAAGGGACGGCUUGAAGACUUUGAGUAAAGCCGAUGAUGUGCCAGUGUAUGGUGGGCCUCAGCCAAUCAGCUGAAGGCCUUAACAGAAAGAAGACUGAGAUCCCUGAGGAGGAAGGAAUUCUGCCAGCGACAGACUCGGGACUCACAAUGAGGCAUCAACUCUUCCCUGGGUCUCCAACCUGCCCUGAGGUUUUAGACUUGCUGCCUCCAUAAUUACACAGGCCAACUUUAAACAAUAAAUCCCUCUCUCUCCGCAUAUAUACCUAUCACACCCCAUUGGUUCUGUCUCUUUGGAGGACCAUGACCAGUACAGAUGGGCUCAGGGAAGGCAUCCCCAAGGGGAGGGUCCU